rnacentral:sRNA from 1 species
GCCAGGCAUGGUGGCACACGCCUGUAAUCCCAGCCUCCCGGGAGGUUGAGGCAGGAGGAUCCUGAGUUCAAAGUCAGCCUCAGCAAGGGUGAGGUGCUAAGCAAUUCAGUGAGACCCUGUCUCUA